GUUUUGGUGGAAGUAGCUAAUGGGCAGAAUCUUUAAUGCCAAUAUUUGUGUAAGGAAUUUCCAUGGCAAAUGCAAAGUAAGAAUUUUGUUGCAGAAGUUUUCAUUUUGCCGUUCGACAACUAUGAUCUUAUUAUUGGUACUCAGUGGUUGUUAACUCUUGGAGAAAUAGUUUGGAAUUACCAAACUUUGCAAAUGAAAUUCAGGUUACCUGAUGGAGAACAUAUUUUGC
rnacentral:misc_RNA from 1 species